rnacentral:snRNA from 1 species
AACAGUCAGCUCAGAACU